UACGAAGGGGGCUAGCGUUGUUCGGAAUUACUGGGCGUAAAGCGCACGUAGGCGGAUUUGUUAGUCAGGGGUGAAAUCCCGGGGCUCAACCUCGGAACUGCCUUUGAAACUGGUGAUCUUGAGUACGGGAGAGGUGAGUGGAAUUCCCAGUGUAGAGGUGAAAUUCGUAGAUAUUGGGAAGAACACCGGUGGCGAAGGCGGCUCACUGGCCCGUAACUGACGCUCAGGCGCGAUAGCGUGGGGAUCAAACAGG
rnacentral:rRNA from 1 species